rnacentral:rRNA from 1 species
UACGGAGGAUCCAAGCGUUAUCCGGAUUCAUUGGGUUUAAAGGGUGUGUAGGCGGGCUAUUAAGUCAGUGGUGAAAUCUCCGAGCUUAACUUGGAAACUGCCAUUGAUACUAUUAGUCUUGAAUUUUGUUGAGGUAGGCGGAAUAAGUCAUGUAGCGGUGAAAUGCUUAGAUAUGACGUAGAACACCAAUUGCGAAGGCAGCUUGCUAAACAAACAUUGACGCUGAGGCACGAAAGCGUGGGGAGCAAACAGG